rnacentral:lncRNA from 1 species
AACAGAAAAUGAAACUGACCAGUUUAGUUUCUCCCUUUAAGGCAGCUCCGACGAUGUCAUCACUGGAGAGAAAACAGGUCCUGACAUCAUACAGAGUGCAAACAAGAAGGUCUCCUGAUGAUUCGCUUACCCGAGGUCUUCUGAGUCCAGUUGGAGAUGAGAAACAUCUGUCCUUCUUGUAGAAGUUCUUCCCAGAGUGGCUGAUUCUAGGAAGACAGCUGGCAUCCAAAGCCGACUCCAUUAAAGUUUAACUGAAAACUCAACUCCUGUAGUCAUUUCUUACAAGUGUUUGAAUCUCAGAGUUUUGUCCAGAAAGCAUAUGGGCCCCACAGAGGUCACAACCCUGCAAUAUCUUGGCCAUGUAUAUUCAUCUAGUACAUUCAACCACCAAACUGAAAUAUGAUAUUGUCUUUCCUGGGCAGAAUUAAGAGUAAGCUCUCUUAGGUUCAACUGACCCCUGCAAUCAGGAACAAGAAGACUGUAAUUGAAAUGUCACUCAAUGAACAUGCCAAGAAUAAUGAAAACUGAGAUGACUACCUUGCCUUGUGGU